GAUGAACGCUGGCGGCGUGCCUAAUACAUGCAAGUCGAGCGAACGGACGAGAAGCUUGCUUCUCUGAUGUUAGCGGCGGACGGGUGAGUAACACGUGGAUAACCUACCUAUAAGACUGGGAUAACUUCGGGAAACCGGAGCUAAUACCGGAUAAUAUUUUGAACCGCAUGGUUCAAAAGUGAAAGACGGUCUUGCUGUCACUUAUAGAUGGAUCCGCGCUGCAUUAGCUAGUUGGUAAGGUAACGGCUUACCAAGGCAACGAUGCAUAGCCGACCUGAGAGGGUGAUCGGCCACACUGGAACUGAGACACGGUCCAGACUCCUACGGGAGGCAGCAGUAGGGAAUCUUCCGCAAUGGGCGAAAGCCUGACGGAGCAACGCCGCGUGAGUGAUGAAGGUCUUCGGAUCGUAAAACUCUGUUAUUAGGGAAGAACAUAUGUGUAAGUAACUGUGCACACCUUGACGGUACCUAAUCAGAAAGCCACGGCUAACUACGUGCCAGCAGCCGCGGUAAUACGUAGGUGGCAAGCGUUAUCCGGAAUUAUUGGGCGUAAAGCGCGCGUAGGCGGUUUUUUAAGUCUGAUGUGAAAGCCCACGGCUCAACCGUGGAGGGUCAUUGGAAACUGGAAAACUUGAGUGCAGAAGAGGAAAGUGGAAUUCCAUGUGUAGCGGUGAAAUGCGCAGAGAUAUGGAGGAACACCAGUGGCGAAGGCGACUUUCUGGUCUGUAACUGACGCUGAUGUGCGAAAGCGUGGGGAUCAAACAGGAUUAGAUACCCUGGUAGCCCACGCCGUAAACGAUGAGUGCUAAGUGUUAGGGGGUUUCCGCCCCUUAGUGCUGCAGCUAACGCAUUAAGCACUCCGCCUGGGGAGUACGACCGCAAGGUUGAAACUCAAAGGAAUUGACGGGGACCCGCACAAGCGGUGGAGCAUGUGGUUUAAUUCGAAGCAACGCGAAGAACCUUACCAAAUCUUGACAUCCUUUGACAACUCUAGAGAUAGAGCUUUCCCCUUCGGGGGACAAAGUGACAGGUGGUGCAUGGUUGUCGUCAGCUCGUGUCGUGAGAUGUUGGGUUAAGUCCCGCAACGAGCGCAACCCUUAAGCUUAGUUGCCAUCAUUAAGUUGGGCACUCUAAGUUGACUGCCGGUGACAAACCGGAGGAAGGUGGGGAUGACGUCAAAUCAUCAUGCCCCUUAUGAUUUGGGCUACACACGUGCUACAAUGGACAAUACAAAGGGCAGCGAAACCGCGAGGUCAAGCAAAUCCCAUAAAGUUGUUCUCAGUUCGGAUUGUAGUCUGCAACUCGACUACAUGAAGCUGGAAUCGCUAGUAAUCGUAGAUCAGCAUGCUACGGUGAAUACGUUCCCGGGUCU
rnacentral:rRNA from 1 species